UACGUAGGGGGCGAGCGUUGUCCGGAUUUAUUGGGCGUAAAGAGCGUGUAGGCGGCCAGGUAGGUCUGCUGUGAAAACUCGAGGCUCAACCUCGAGACGUCGGCGGAAACCAUCUGGCUAGAGUCCGGAAGAGGAGAGUGGAAUUCCUGGUGUAGCGGUGAAAUGCGUAGAGAUCAGGAAGAACACCGGUGGCGAAGGCGCUCUGCUAGGCCGCAACUGACACUGAGGGACGAAAGCUAGGGGAGCGAAUGGG
rnacentral:rRNA from 1 species